AGGAGCUGCUGCAGAAGGAAGAAGAAGAAGCGGCGUGGGGACCUGGGAGGCAGGAGCAAGCAAGAAGAGGAAGCGGAAGCGUGCAGAUGCGGGGGGGAAGGAGAGAGGCUCCCUGGGCAAAGCACCUGUCCCGUUAGCAGGGGCACAGUCACGUUUGAGUUGAGAGCUGCCGGCGCCUUUGGUGACCAGGCUGGCGUUGUGCUGGGCGACCUCCCCGUAAGCGGGGCUCGGGUCUUUGCUGUAGUUGGCCUUUUGCCUUGCUGCUCCUUUGGCUGCCUGGGGAGCGUGGCCCCCUGUAACGGAGGGCGAGAGCCACCUCUCCGCACCUGAGUGGGAAAUGGAGCUCGCCGGACCCCAAGGCCACCCUGUAAGCAGGGUAGUGCCGUUUCCCUGCCCCUCUUCCUCCCCCGGCCCCUCGGCAUCGUUGCCUGAUGGUGGCUUGUCAACGCGACGGCCCCGUACUCGGGGUGUGCGUCACGGCAUUUGGCCGUUGGCUUUAUCUGAGAAGCCCCUUGGCACGUUGAGGUCUGUGGCCUCCGUGCAGCCUAGGGACAGGUCACAGGCUCUUGUCUGUUGCCCGUGGUUGUGGGUUUAUUCCCAGGUGUUGGCUGUGCUGCGUUGUCCUUCCCUUCUGGAAAGUCGUGCCUGUGUGUGCGUGUUCCCCUUCCUUUCCUUGUUUGUGUUUGUGGAGUGGUUGAGCGGCUGUGCUUUCCCUUUAGGCCUCCACAAAAGAUGGCUGCAGCUUAGCUUUGACUUCCCAGGGGGGAAUGGAGGACUUUGGUGCAUGCCGCAAAAGGGGUGUUCCCUCUUAGUCCUGCGAGCGCAGCGAGUGUCCUGUCUUCCUACUAUCUUCCUUAGUGCAGAUCAGAGCCACAUGGUAGUUCUGUGGCCAAGGCCUCCCUGUAGCCAGGGCUUGGGCCUGUCCUUGCGUGGCCCGGCCUGUCCUGCUGGUGGCGGUGACAGCCCCGUACUCGGGGUGUGUGUCCCAAGCUUCGGAGCCCUCUGUCCCUGAGCAGCCCGCCCGCCCUGUAAUCAGGUGUGGGGAGGCUGCAGCGUUGCAGCCGGCUGCUUUAGCCAUCCAGCUGGUGGGAGUGACCCCUCCCUGUCCCGUCAGAGGGUGCAGGUUGAGGUGCUGUUUGUGUGUGGGGUGACCUCCCCGCUCGGUGGGUCGAGGUAGCUCCCUGGGCUUCCAAAGACGAGACGUUGGUGAUGUUCUGCUGCUGCCGGGCGGGCCAGCCUGUAACUCAGGCGUUGGCGGGAGCCUCGUGCUCCGCGGGGCUUCUUG
rnacentral:lncRNA from 1 species